rnacentral:rRNA from 1 species
AGUAACACGUGAGCAACCUGCCUUUCAGAGGGGGAUAACAGUUGGAAACGACUGCUAAUACCGCAUAACGCUGCGAUGGGGCAUCCCGAUGCAGCCAAAGGAGCAAUCCGCUGGAAGAUGGGCUCGCGGCCGAUUAGCUAGUUGGUGGGGUAACGGCCCACCAAGGCGACGAUCGGUAGCCGGACUGAGAGGUUGGACGGCCACAUUGGGACUGAGACACGGCCCAGACUCCUACGGAAGGCAGCAG